GGAUCGAUGAUGACUAUAAAAAAAAUGGAUCUCAUCGGAAUCUGAACAAAAUGAGUGACCAAAUCAUUUCUGUGCCACUUCUGUGAGCUGAGGUCCAGCACUGGGACCAUGCCAGGCAAACAUGAGGAGGGAGUUUACAGGGACUAGGAUUGGGUGAGAUACAAUUCCAUGGAAUUUUACCACUGAACCAGUGGAGGGCUAAUUUUGUCAUUUGUACCAGUUAACUAACUUGGGAGGAAACAGAACAACACACUCCUGAGAUUGGUUUUCACAGAAUUCCAUGGACUUUAACUGCUGAACCAAUGAUGCACUGAUUUUGUCACUUGUACCAGCUAACGCAUCUGGGAGGCAACAAAACAAUACUCUCCUGAGGUUAAUGUGGACCAAAAACUAGAUUUCAUAUAAAAGAGUUUAUUCCUUCUACUUGAGGUGUGACAUGAAGGAAAGUAAUGGAAAUAAUUCUGCCCUCCCAUUCUCAAGGGCCAGGGGGAAUUCAAAUAUUGAACGGAAGUGAUUUUGGAAUUGCAUGGAAUUCUCACUGCCAUCCCAAAGAAAUGCUGAUCUUGUCACUCUUACCUGUUUCAUUCCCUGGGGGCAGAACAAAAGGACGCACUCCAAAGAUCGGCAUGAACCAAGAACUGGGUUUCAUAUAAAAUAUUUUAUUCUGUCCUCUUGAGAUGUGACAUGAGAAAAGUAUUGAGAAUACUUCUAUCACCUCAUCUUCAAGAAUCCGUAGGAAUUCUCCCAUGGUGGACUUUACGGUUAACCUGAACAGGUCUUGGAAAAAGGACUUUAAACAUUCUCCUGUUCUGUGGAAUAAGUAUACUUUUUUCUGGACAUACACCUUGUCAGUGAGUUCCAUGUGAUACUAGAGUUGCAUAGAUUUUUAACCUUUACGCCAAUGAAGAUCUGAGGCAAACAUUGCCCCUUUUUUAGAAGUUUGCAUUUGUCACUGAUAACUGUAAUAAUUGAUCUUGUUGAAAAGCCUGGGAAAUGAAGAUCUGAUAUGUCACUUUUACCGGCUUCCUCAACUGAAAAAGAAUACAAUGAAACACGCUGAGAAUUUUUGUGCUUUCUCAGUCUUGCUGAUGAUCUUUCUAUGGGCCUGAAGCGUGGAGAGUGCCAGAGAGGCUGAUCCUCAGCAGUGUGGCAGAGGAAAGUUGGGUGCGACUAAGGGGUAUGCGGUGCCCACAUGCCACUGGGUCCUCAGCAGUACCACCUGAUUGGAAGUGAUAUUGGUGGAAGACAACAUUUUGCCGCUUGGAAUUCUCACCUCCACACCAAAGAAGUACUGUUUUUGUCAUUUGCACCAGCUUCUUUCUCCAGGAAAGAUCAAAACGAUGCACUGCAAGUGUGAUUGGUCCAGAUAGCUGCCUUAUCCAACUGCCUCCUUUGGACCACUUCAUCAUGGGACAGCUUGAUGCAAUCUACUUGACAAGACCCUGGAACCCCACACCCCUCAUGGAACCAGUGUCCACCUCCCAGUCACAGUGUGACCCCAGGGAACUCUUGCCUGCUUGCUUUAAACCCACCACUUAAAAGUCUCCACAGAAAACCUGUUUGAAUAGUACCCUUGACCCAAUAAGGGCAUUGGCCCCUGGGUGUCUCUCUCUCUCUCUCUCUCUCUCUCUCCCUCUCUCUCCCUCUCUCUCUCUCGCUCCCUGACCUCUGCGUGUGGACUCCAGGCAUGCCAUAUACCCCUCAGGACCUGAAGCAAAAGAAUGAAUUAAAGAAAACUCCAGAGAAUGAGCUGACAACCUACUCCCUGGUCAGUGGCUCUCCAUGCCUACCUGUGGUCUCUUGGACACCCUUGCAGAAGAUGACUUCCUGGGAACUCUUCUGGGAGUGAAUGUUAUCAGCAAAUUCCCAAAACAACACCCCUUAGACAAAAAGCCUCCUCACCUAUGCAUUGCCUAGACCACCCACUAAAGGUGAUGGCCACAAAGAGGUGGAUUUGUUGAGUUGGUGCCAUUCCUUCUACUGCCAGCUUCACCAAAACAAUGACACAGUCUUCCUUCCGCAUGGAGACUCUUCUCUUUCCUGUGUUGCAGUGGAUGCCUCCUGCAGAUAAGAAAUGCUUAACUGAGAAAUGCUCAUGUUGGGAUAUCAUCGAUGAGACUUUAAUUUGGGCAUGGUGACUGUUUCCCUUGCUGCCACUUGACUCAAUCCCAGGAGCCUCAGUAGAGGAUAUAAUAUUACACAAGAUGCUCAAAAUGGUGGAAUUGCUCAGUGCUCCCAUAAAUAUACAUUUAUAAUUUUCAUUUGCCACAUGGUAAACUGAAAAAUACAGACUAUAUUAAAAAGAAACUGCAUGAUUUUUUUUCAAAAAUUCAAAGCAUAUUUAAAUAAUAUAUAAAUUAAAUGCCCUCCUCUCUUCCAAUUCUGUCCCUAUAGUUUUCCUCUAUUAAGUGAACUACAUGCAUUCUUUUAGUGGAUAGAUGCACACAAACACACAAGCCAUUAUGGGGAAGGAUCCACGUGUGUGGCCAUAUUGUAACACAUUUUUCUGCAAAUCACCUCUUUCAUUUAACAGCCCUUAUUCAAUGGCCUUUUUCUUUUUCAGUAGUACAUACACAUCUGUGUCAUUUGUUGAAUGACGACAUGAAUGUUUUGUAGAUAAAAUAUAAUUAAAUGUUUUAAGCAUUUCUCACUCAUAGAUAUUUAUGUUAGCACCAAAUUUCUGUGCAAUGAACCUCCCUAUAUAUCAGUAAUUUUGCAUUUGUCUAUAAUAUCAUAAUAAAUUACUUAUCAGUUGAAUUACUGGGAUUAAGUAUGUGCACACUUUAUAUUUAUAUUUUGAAAAUUAUUGCAAGAUUGCCUUCAAAAAUGUGGUUAACAACUUUAUCUUCAAAUGGCAAUGAAUGAGAUUGCCAGCUUUCCUACAGCCUCACAGACAAUGGAUUUUAUAAAUAUUUAACAUUUUUGCCAAUGUGAUCACCCAAACUAUUGUCUUAAAUUGUAUCUCUUUUGUUUUUGAGUUUGGUCAUUUUUUCAUGUUUAUUAGCCAUCUGUAUUUUUUAAUUUCUUCUUUAUGUCCAAUUUUGUGGGUGGGAGGAGGAUUUAGUCUCUUCCUGAUUUCGAAGAGCUCAUUUACUAUUUCGGGAAAUAAGAUUUGGAUUGUCAACCAUUAUAGCUAUUUUUUACACACUUUUCAACUUUGUUUUUGUUAUAAGAAUGUGUAUGAUUGUUACAUGUCCAAGUAUAACCAUGUUCGCUUUUAUGGCUUCUGAGUUUCAUGUCAUUUUUGGAAAGAUAUAUAUAUUGAGUCCAUAAAACCCUUCACCUAUGUUAAAUUCUAAUUCUUUUGUGUUUUUUUAAUUCAAAUUCUUAAAUCAUGAGAAAUUUUUUUGUUUUGAAAUCUUAAAGUUGCCAAGUUACUUGCCAUUACUUGCGAUUAUUUGCCAAUAAUUGCCCAUUUAUCUGUACCGCCAUCUUGCGCAUAUGCUGUACUCUCAUCUGUGACUGGCUCCAUUUUUGUUCUGUGGAUUUGUGUGUCUCUUCUUCUGCCUCCUGUCUCGUGUCUGCUCGUUGGAAGAAAUUACAGUUUAGACUGCAAUUUCAUCAACUUUAAUAAAUCAAUUGAGGGGAGAAUUGGUUUUUAAAAAUAUUAAGUAAGUCUUCGUAUCCAAGGACAAGGUAUGUCUUUUCUUAUUCAAUAAUUUUAAUUACUGUUAAUAUUUUCACUGUGGUGAUGGGAGUUUUUCUUUUAAUUUAUUUUCUUGUUCAUUUUUUGUAUCUAAAGUUUUUGUUUUGUUUUGUUUUGGGGGUAAGUUGUCACCUUACUGUUUCUUGUUGCUUUUCAGAUUUUUUCAAAGUAUAGACUAAAUCCUUCACAAAUAUUUAAAGUUUUUAUUUUCCCCCUUCAUAUUGAUCCUGAUUUUAGUUAUGUUGACAAAGUCCACAGACUGUUACUAUCAGAACACUUGAACAGUUAUGGAAAUAUUACCUACCCUUGAUUUAAUCAGAGUUUAAUGGUAUGCUUCUUUGGUUUGACUGGCACAUUGUCGCUGGUCAUUUCCUCCCAAAGACCACCAGAAAGAGCUAUGAUCAAGCAAAGCUGAGUUUGUUAAACUUACCUGCAGCAAGGGAAAACACCACCUUGAUAGGGUUUAAUAAUGUUUCAAAAUCAAGAAAUGAGGCUUUGGGGUCUGGGCAGGGAACUAAUUAGAAAUGGGCAAAAUUUGUCAUGCAAUACCUUGUGGGAAAGUGAGAUGAGGUUCUUAAUGUGAGUAUUGAUGGUGAAAUCAUUUUCUAGGUGAGCUGUUUGCCUAUAUAAAGAUGUUAUCAAUGACAGAAGAACUAUUUGCCUAGAUAAACAAACUGAAUUUAUUUAUUGGUUUACAGUUUUAUCUUGCUGGGCAGGACUCUGCUGGGGGUGGUAUCAGGUCUUAUUCCCAAUAGGUAAGUUAUUUGGAUAUGGGUGGUCUUAAUCAUCAAUGUGUAAAAUGCUGAUUUUAAGUGCGAAAUACUUUGUCUACCAUGUUAGGAAAGUCUGCCACCUUUUAUCUUUUUUAAGGAAUUUUAAUCAAAACCAGGUGGUAGAUAUAAUCAAAUUGUUUUGCAGAAUCAAUUUUCCUGUUCUCUUUAAAGACUUUUAUCACUGUGAAUUAAUUUACUAUUAUUGCAACUUCCUUUAAUUCCUUGAAUGAACAGACCCUACUGGUUUUAAAAAUGUUUUAUUCUUUUAAUUUACUACUUAAUUGUGGGUAUUUUAAUUUGAUUUGGAAUUUUUACAAGUAUACAACUAAGUGAAAUUGAUCUGUGAUUUUUCUUUUUUGUGCUAUUUUUGUCAUGUUUUGAUAUCAGAUAUUCUGGUUGUGUUAAAAUAAUUUUGAGGAUUUUCUUCUUAUACUGUGUUCUAGAGUGGGUAAAAAAGCCCUAGUCUCACUAUCAGUGUUUAAGUGAACACAUCAGUGACAUCAUCUGGACUCUCCUUUGUUUUUGCUGGUUUGGAGUUAGGACAUCUAGAAGUUUUUUUCUUUUUUUCCUUUUUUUGUAUGGUUAUUGCUUGUUCUUUGUUUUGUGUCAAAUUUAACCUGUUUUCUCUUAGCAAAUCACAGCUCAUGCAGAUUUUCAAACACAUUAGCCUUGUUAUACAAAGUGUUCUUUCAUCAUUCUAUUAAAUUUCCAUUUUCAUUCCAGUUAUAGUUAUUUCUGCUGUGCCUUUGUUAAUGAAUAAGUUUAAACAGUGGAUGUUUAGCAUCACUAGCCUUCCCCUUCCAUCUCCCUUAAUCAGGACCUUGGUAUAAUUUAUCAGGUAUUUUUUAAGGUUCUAAUUUACUUAUAUAUAUUGUUUCUGUAUUCUUUUGUUUCUUUUCUUAAUAAAUUCUUAAA
rnacentral:lncRNA from 1 species